rnacentral:tRNA from 1 species
AUAGCCCAGUGGUUAGGGCACUCACCUGGGCUGUGAGAGAGUCAGGUUCAAGUCCCUGAU